rnacentral:rRNA from 1 species
CGCGUGGGAACAUACCUAUCGGUACGGAACAACUGCGGGAAACUGCAGCUAAUACCGUAUACGUCCUAACGGAGAAAGAAUUUCGCCGAUAGAUUGGCCCGCGUUCGAUUAGCUAGUUGGUGGGGUAAUGGCUCACCAAGGCUACGAUCGAUAGCUGUUCUGAGAGGAAGAUCAGCCACACUGGGACUGAGACACGGCCCAGACUCCUACGGGAGGCAGCAGUUGGGAAUCUUGGACAAUGGGGGAAACCCUGAUCCAGCCAUGCCGCGUGAGUGAUGAAGGCCUUCGGGUUGUAAAACU